ACAUACACAGAAGGACAUCCCCCAUCAGUCAUUGGAAGGUUUGAACAGAAUUACUGUAAAGCACUGUGUUCCAGGCCUGGUUCACAGUGAAUGGCAGCCGUGUUGAGGAUGAGGAAGAAGCCCACGAUUUCCUGCUCAGCCAGAUCUUUGUUUCAGGCCCACUUCAGACUAAGGAAUUUCAUCAGACCUUUCGUGGUGAGCCCAGCCCAUGCUGACUCAUCCAUUUACAAAUGAUAAGUGGACCCUCCUGUUUUCCAGUUCCUGGGGAUGCUGUGGUGUAACCGGCCUGCCUUCGUGGAUCACGGUUCAGGAAGUGAUGCAGUAGAAUGAGCUCAUGUUAGUGCUUCUUCUAGAGAUUUAAAAACAGGAUUGUAGCUCUUCAUCAUGCUGAAGGUCAGUACCAGAUGCUAUUCUUUCCUGGUAAUCAACACUUGACCUUCAUAGCUCAGCCCAUCUGAUGCCUUGUGAAGCAUCCACUGACCACCCCAAGAAGAGUUCUCUAAACGAUAACAUAACAGCACUUGCACAGUAUACUGGUCCCUAGGAGGCCAUCGGUGUCCUGAAAUAGGGACGUUUCCUAGGUUCCCAGUGCCUAGGAUGGAAGAGCUCAGUGAAGGGAUGACCCCCACUUCUUGGCAUCAGAUGCUAAAGCCUGUGUGGAGGGUACUGACUGGGAGACAGCGGCUCUCUGUCUGUGGAGAAUACCAUCAGAGAGCAGGUAUUAGAAACUAGCCUUGGUCUCAGAAACCAUAUUCCCUAUGUUAUUUAAUUGGGAACACUGCUAAUUACACUUUUGUGUUGCUAUUUUUCUGUGACCUUUGAUACAGUUGUAACUUGUGUUAUUGCAUAAUUACCUUGAAUGAAACAUCUGAGGGUGAAUCAGCAUUAGUUCACAUUCAUAAAUAUCCUGAAGGCAAGGAGGAAGAAAUGAAGAAGCCUGAGCCUGAGCUCAGUGAACUUCAGGCAAGUCAUCUGAAAAAGCCAAUAUUCUCUCCUUCUAUCGUCUGAAACCUGAUCCCUCCAGUUCCCAUAGAAGAGAGUACUGAGAAAGACAACUGGAAUCAGGGGCAUCUUUGGGAUGAGCUAGAAACCUAGCACAGUGGAAACUCCCACGAAUCUAUGAGGGUGACCAUAGCUCAGACUCCUAGCAAUGUGGGGCACAGAGCCUGAACCAGCCAUCUCCUGGAACCAGGCAAAACUCCCAGGGGAGGGACUGGGACCCCCAACUCAGCCACAUAAACUUUGGCUUACAAUUUGCUGUGCCUAAAAGAUUAGCUGGGGUAAAGCUGAUGCAGAAAUUAUGGGAAUGGCCAACCAAUGACUGGUCCAGCUUGAGAUCCAUACCACGAGAGGGAGCCCACUCCUGACACUGCCUAAAUGGCCAGGACCCAGAGGCUGGACAGUCCAGAGGCCAAGGAUAGGACCAAGCAUGGCUGUCAAAAAAAGUCAAUGAAGUGAUUCCUAAUGAUAUUCUGCUAUACUCAUAGAUUGUUGCCGAGCCCAAUUUUCAUCAGAGAGGUUUCAUUCAGCAACUGAUGGAAACAGAUGCAGAGAACCACAGUCAAACACUAGGUGGACUUCGGCAAAUCCUGUGGAAGAGGGGGAGAAGGACUGUGGGAGCCAGAGGGGCCAAAGACACCACAAGAAAACCAUGUAAACAACUAACCUAGGCUCAUAAGGGCUCACAGAGACUGAGCUGCCCAUCAGAGAGCAUGCAUGGGACUGACCUAGGCCCUCUGCACAUGUAUUACAGUUGUGUAGCUUUUGGGACCCCUAACAGCGGGAGCAGGGCCUGUCUCUGACUCUUACGUGCUUUUGGGACCCUUUUUUCCUUCUGUGUUGCCUCAUCCAGUCUUAAUAGGAGAGCAGGUGCCUAGUCUUAUUGCAACUUGAUAUACCAUGGCUGGCUGAUAUGAGAGACUUACCCUUUUCUCAAGAAAAAGGAGGAGGAGGGAUGGGGGUGGGGUGAGGUGGAUUGGAGAGAGGGACUGGGAGGAGAGGAGGGAGAGAGGGGAAAAGUGAUUGUUCUGGAACAAAUUAAUUAGUUAACUAAUAAAAAUAAAAGCAAAAUGUACAAUAAAGCCAAUUUCACACAAAUUGCAAAGUCAUUUCAAUUGCUAGAGAUAUGUGUGCUUGAUCUAUAGGGAUGUUACUCUACUUGACUUUAUUCCAGAAUUAAAAAGAUCAUCUUAAAGUUAAUUGCAUAUCUGUUA